AUCUUUUUGAUUCAUAAACUUGAUGAUUUGUCAUUCACACCAUUGCGUGAGAUAUCCCUCUUUCUAUUUUUUUACAGAAUCCAUACAUUACUCAUCUGAUA
rnacentral:snoRNA from 1 species